CUAGGCUUACUGAGAACCUUUAAAAUAAGUCAACGUAUAACCCUUGAAAUAAGUGCUGAAAAAAAAUGGCGGGCACACCAAUGUGAGUUUUCACUCUAAAAUUUGUAGAUUUCCCAGUACCCCUCGAAAAAAUACUGUAAAACAUAAAGACUGAUUUAUUUCUAAGCAAGACUCAAAAAUUUUGUAUGAAAAUUUCACAUUUUCGUUCUCAAAGUAUUUAGGUCCUCCCUGGCUUAUUCUCUUUCAUUUAUUUUUCCUCUUUUUCCUUUGAUUGCUCUUUCUCUCUCUUGCGCUCUCUCUCGAAGUAGAUCGCGUUUUCUCUAUGUGCGAAGAUGAAUCACCAGAAUGUGAGGAAUCUCUGAUCGGAGGAAGGAAUUUUCCGACGAGGACAGCAGCGCCGACGAGAACUGUCAUACUCUCUCGGUUACCACCUCCGGCGAAUCUUCCGAUGCUGAGUAUUUUUACAAUUCAACAUUUCAACCAGCUAUAGAUGGAGUACUGAUGUUAUUGUUACAAUUCAAUUCAACAUUUCAAUCAUUUCAUAUAGUCAUGUAGAUUGGGCUCCCCACUUGCUGCUGAUAUUUGGUAGACAUAUUUUCAAGAAUCAACUAUGUUGAAACAAUCACCUAGUAGAAAUCAGAGGUUAAAAGGUUUCAAGGUGAAGCAUGCAAUACUGAUAUGUCUUUUGCUUGCCAUUUGCAUCUGGUUGCUUUACCAAGACAGACACUCCCAUGAAAGGUUUGUAGAUAUAUUUGCUGGGAAAUUAACAAACUUUUGGUAUCAUUCUCUCUUUUUCAGAAACUUGAGGGCACCCAUAAUGGCUGAAAUGUUCAAUUGUACUAGCUGAUAACUUCUUCCUUUGGAGAUGAUGAUGAAGAAUAAAAUGUAUCAAAACUUUUUACUCUUGGACAGAUUUGGUCUUUGUACAAAGUGUGGUUGUUGAUAUCUUUUCUCUUAAACAAUAAUUGACAAUAAUUUGUAGGUUGAGUUUAGAGAUCAAAGAAAGUGUAAUUGUAGCAAUAUACCACUUUUGCUAUACAUCAAUAUCAUAGCAUAUCAUCUCAACAA